UACGUAGGGGGGCUAGCGUUGUCCGGAAUUAUUGGGCGUAAAGAGCUCGUAGGCGGUUUGUCGCGUCUGCCGUGAAAGUCCGGGGCUCAACUCCGGAUCUGCGGUGGGUACGGGCAGACUAGAGUGAUGUAGGGGAGACUGGAAUUCCUGGUGUAGCGGUGAAAUGCGCAGAUAUCAGGAGGAACACCGAUGGCGAAGGCAGGUCUCUGGGCCACUACUGACGCUGAGAAGCGAAAGCAUGGGGAGCGAACAGG
rnacentral:rRNA from 1 species